rnacentral:rRNA from 1 species
UAAGCGGAGGAAAAGAAACUAACAAGGAUUCCCCUAGUAGCGGCGAGCGAAGCGGGAAGAGCUCAAAUUUAUAAUCUGGCACCUUCGGUGUCCGAGUUGUAAUCUCUAGAAAUGUUUUCCGCGUUGGACCGCACACAAGUCUGUUGGAAUACAGCGGCAUAGUGGUGAGACCCCCGUAUAUGGUGCGGACGCCCAGCGCUUUGUGAUACAUUUUCGAAGAGUCGAGUUGUUUGGGAAUGCAGCUCAAAUUGGGUGGUAAAUUCCAUCUAAAGCUAAAUAUUGGCGAGAGACCGAUAGCGAACAAGUACCGUGAGGGAAAGAUGAAAAGCACUUUGGAAAGAGAGUUAACAGUACGUGAAAUUGUUGGAAGGGAAACGCUUGAAGUCAGACUUGCUUGCCGAGCAAUCGGUUUGCAGGCCAGCAUCAGUUUUCCGGGAUGGAUAAUGGUAGAGAGAAGGUAGCAGUUUCGGCUGUGUUAUAGCUCUCUGCUGGAUACAUCUUGGGGGACUGAGGAACGCAGUGUGCCUUUGGCGGGGGUUUCGACCUCUUCACACUUAGGAUGCUGGUGGAAUGGCUUUAAACGACCCGUCUUGA